rnacentral:rRNA from 1 species
CUGAAGAUACUGCCCGGUAACCGGGAGGGAAGGUGGGGAUGACGUCAAGUCCUCAUGGCCCUUAUGCCCAGGGCUACACACGUGCUACAAUGGCAUAUACAAAGGGUCGCGAUACCGCGAGGUGGAGCCAAUCCCAUAAAGUAUGCCACAGUUCGGAUUGGAGUCUGCAACUCGACUCCAUGAAGUUGGAAUCGCUAGUAAUCGCAGAUCAGCAUGCUGCGGUGAAUACGUUCCCGGGCCUU